rnacentral:lncRNA from 1 species
CGCCGAGCUUGGGCACCGGGGGGGUUGGCGUGCUUGUACACUUGCUCCGUUUUCUCUAAACUGCCGCGAUGAAUGUCAGUCCCCAGAGCCGGAACCGUUCCCGGUUUUCUCUACUUGGAUCUGAGAACUCUGUCCCUCCAGUCCUGCGAGCGCUUUGCCAGGGUGACGGGCGGAAAUGUCCCCGCAUCCGUGCCUGCUUUCCCAGACGGGACCCCCCAGCAGUCCCCUCCACUGCCCUUGCUUCCUCCUAACCACUUCCCCCCAGCGACCGCGGAAGGCGCUUCCUCCCCCGCAGCGCGAGCCCCAAGCUCCUCCAGAGCCCCAGCUCUCCCCGCCCCCUUCCCGACCUUGUUUCAUAUGACCCCUCCCCCGCACAUACUCAAUUUCAUCUUCCCAAGGCGCCCACUCUCCACAUCCUGAUGAAAAAAAGAGCCGGCUGCUGUCCUAUGUUAUUGUCAUACUUCUUUCCUCCCGUGCACUACACAAUUUGAACAACUUUUUUUUUUCUUUUUUUGAGAAAAGGUCUCGAACUGUCGCCCAGGCUGGAGUACAGUGGCACGAUGAUGGCCCACUGCAGCCUCGCCCUCUCUGGGCACAGGUGAUCCUCCUGCCUCAGCUUCCUAAGAAGCUGGUACUACAGGCGGG